rnacentral:rRNA from 1 species
UACGUGAGGCGCAAGCGUUUAUCCGGAAUUAUUGGGCGUAAAGAGCUCGUAGGCGGUUUGUCGCGUCUGCCGUGAAAGUCCGGGGCUCAACUCCGGAUCUGCGGUGGGUACGGGCAGACUAGAGUGAUGUAGGGGAGACUGGAAUUCCUGGUGUAGCGGUGAAAUGCGCAGAAUAUCAGGAGGAACACCGAUGGCGAAGGCAGGUCUCUGGGCCGAUAACUGACGCUGAGGAGCGAAAGCGUGGGGAGCAACAGGAUUAGAACCGUA